rnacentral:rRNA from 1 species
CCUACGGGAGGCAGCAGUGAGGAAUAUUGGUCAAUGGGCGGGAGCCUGAACCAGCCAAGCCGCGUGAAGGAAGAAGGCGCCAAGCGUCGUAAACUUCUUUUGUCGGGGAACAAAGGGCGCCACGUGUGGCGUUGUGAGUAUACCCGAAGAAAAAGCAUCGGCUAACUCCGUGCCAGCAGCCGCGGUAAUACGUAGGUGGCAAGCGUUAUCCGGAUUUAUUGGGUGUAAAGGGCGUGUAGGCGGGAAAGCAAGUCAGAUGUGAAAACUCAGGGCUCAACCCUGAGCCUGCAUUUGAAACUGUUUUUCUUGAGUGCUGGAGAGGCAAUCGGAAUUCCGUGUGUAGCGGUGAAAUGCGUAGAUAUACGGAGGAACACCAGUGGCGAAGGCGGAUUGCUGGACAGUAACUGACGCUGAGGCGCGAAAGCGUGGGGAGCAAACAGGAUUAGAUACCCCUGUAGUC